ACAUCUCAUCAGGGCAUCAAGAGGGCAGAAAAUGGACUUUCUGCUAACUCCACUUUGCAUCUGCACCUCUGCCUAGUUUCAACUCCAUGGAACAAGAGCCCCC